rnacentral:rRNA from 1 species
AAACUGGAGAGUUUGAUCCUGGCUCAGAUUGAACGCUGGCGGCGUGCUUAACACAUGCAAGUCGAACGAGAAAGUUCCCUUCGGGGGGU